rnacentral:tRNA from 1 species
CCUCUAGUAGUGGAGUGGGCUAGCAUCCUGCCCGGAAAGUAGUUGGUGCGGGUUCGAGUCCCGCCUAGCGCA